rnacentral:rRNA from 1 species
UACAGAGGUCCCAAGCGUUUGUUCGGAUUUAUUGGGCGUAAAGGGUGCGUAGGCGGCGGAGUAAGUUGGGUGUGAAAUCCCGGGGCUCAACCUCGGAAUUGCAUUCAAUACUGCUUCGCUAGAGUACUGGAGAGGAGGCUGGAAUUUACGGUGUAGCAGUGAAAUGCGUAGAUAUCGUAAGGAAGGCCGGUGGCGAAAGCGAGCCUCUGGACAGUUACUGACGCUGAUGCACGAAGGCCAGGGGGAGCAAACGGGG